GAUGAACGCUGGCGGCGUGCCUAAUACAUGCAAGUCGAGCGAACGGACGAGAAGCUUGCUUCUCUGAUGUUAGCGGCGGACGGGUGAGUAACACGUGGAUAACCUACCUAUAAGACUGGGAUAACUUCGGGAAACCGGAGCUAAUACCGGAUAAUAUUUUGAACCGCAUGGUUCAAAAGUGAAAGACGGUCUUGCUGUCACUUAUAGAUGGAUCCGCGCUGCAUUAGCUAGUUGGUAAGGUAACAGCUUACCAAGGCAACGAUGCAUAGCCGACCUGAGAGGGUGAUCGGCCACACUGGAACUGAGACACGGUCCAGACUCCUACGGGAGGCAGCAGUAGGGAAUCUUCCGCAAUGGGCGAAAGCCUGACGGAGCAACGCCGCGUGAGUGAUGAAGGUCUUCGGAUCGUAAAACUCUGUUAUUAGGGAAGAACAUAUGUGUAAGUAACUGUGCACAUCUUGACGGUACCUAAUCAGAAAGCCACGGCUAACUACGUGCCAGCAGCCGCGGUAAUACGUAGGUGGCAAGCGUUAUCCGGAAUUAUUGGGCGUAAAGCGCGCGUAGGCGGUUUUUUAGGUCUGAUGUGAAAGCCCACGGCUCAACCGUGGAGGGUCAUUGGAAACUGGAAAACUUGAGUGCAGAAGAGGGAAGUGGAAUUCCAUGUGUAGCGGUGAAAUGCGCAGAGAUAUGGAGGAACACCAGUGGCGAAGGCGACUUUCUGGUCUGUAACUGACGCUGAUGUGCGAAAGCGUGGGGAUCAAACAGGAUUAGAUACCCUGGUAGUCCACGCCGUAAACGAUGAGUGCUAAGUGUUAGGGGGUUUCCGCCCCUUAGUGCUGCAGCUAACGCAUUAAGCACUCCGCCUGGGGAGUACGAUCGCAAGGUUGAAACUCAAAGGAAUUGACGGGGACCCGCACAAGCGGUGGAGCAUGUGGUUUAAUUCGAAGCAACGCGAAGAACCUUACCAAAUCUUGACAUCCUUUGACAACUCUAGAGAUAGAGCCUUCCCCUUCGGGGGACAAAGUGACAGGUGGUGCAUGGUUGUCGUCAGCUCGUGUCGUGAGAUGUUGGGUUAAGUCCCGCAACGAGCGCAACCCUUAAGCUUAGUUGCCAUCAUUAAGUUGGGCACUCUAAGUUGACUGCCGGUGACAAACCGGAGGAAGGUGGGGAUGACGUCAAAUCAUCAUGCCCCUUAUGAUUUGGGCUACACACGUGCUACAAUGGACAAUACAAAGGGCAGCGAAACCGCGAGGUCAAGCAAAUCCCAUAAAGUUGUUCUCAGUUCGGAUUGUAGUCUGCAACUCGACUACAUGAAGCUGGAAUCGCUAGUAAUCGUAGAUCAGCAUGCUACGGUGAAUACGUUCCCGGGUCU
rnacentral:rRNA from 1 species